AGGCUAGAAGUCUAGGGUCAAGGUGU
rnacentral:piRNA from 1 species